UACGUAGGGUGCGAGCGUUGCCCGGAUUUAUUGGGCGUAAAGGGCGCGUAGGCGGUGAGUUGCGUCCGUUGUGAAAUCGCCCGGCUCAACUGGGCGGGGUCAGCGGAUACGGUCUCACUUGAGCAAGCUAGGGGGCAAUGGAAUUCCCGGUGUAGUGGUGGAAUGCGUAGAUAUCGGGAGGAACACCAGUGGCGAAGGCGGUUGCCUGGGGCUUUGCUGACGCUGAUGCGCGAAAGCGUGGGGAGCGAUCCGG
rnacentral:rRNA from 1 species